UUAUUAUAUACAUGAGAUUUUUUAAAAGGUGUGGGGGGGCUUGGCAAUUUAAAAGCCACAUAUAUUCACUUUUAUUUCCCUAAAUUUGCUUUACAUGAAACACAGAGCAAACCCACACGUUGCUAGGACUUAACUUACAUUUCAUGAUGUUGACACAGUCCCUUUUUCUUCAAUUCUGACUUCAAAAUCUAAAUACAAAUCCUUUGCUUAGUGCAGCAGGGGAAGGAAUUACACCCAUUUUUUCUCUCCUACAAAAACACAUUUUAUUAGUAUUUUAUUAGUAUCAUUUUCCUUAUUUAUGCAAUGACAAUGUGCUGUUAUUCUAUUAUGUACCUUAAAGAAAGGAUGAGUGCAAAAAUAUUUACCAUAUACAAGGCAUCUUCUUUCUGGAAGCAAUGGCUCAGCCUCAUGGUAGUACCUGGCAGCCUCAUGGUAGUACCUGGAAUGUGUGGUGAAAUGGAUAGUUGUACUUUUGCAGGUUGGAGUUAACAUAUAUAGUGGACCUUCAACAGAAUCAAUGGGACGUUAAUUUUUUAAAUGGCUAUGAGAUGCAAUUAAUAUUCCACUGCACGUUUUCCACACUGUUCAUUUCUAAAUCAAAUAUGUAGGCAUUUGUUACCUCUGAUGAUUUCCUCACAAAUAUAACACUUUUUUAGUA
rnacentral:lncRNA from 1 species